rnacentral:rRNA from 1 species
UCGAGAAUCUUCGGCAAUGGGCGAAAGCCUGACCGAGCGACGCCGCGUGCAGGAUGAAGGCCUUCGGGUUGUAAACUGCUUUUGCAAGGGAAGAAGCUUCGGCUGACGGUACCUUGCGAAUAAGAGGUUGCUAACUCUGUGCCAGCAGCAGCGGUAAUACAGAGACCUCAAGCGUUAUCCGGAUUUAUUGGGCGUAAAGCGUGUGUAGGCGGCAAUGAUAGUCAGAUGUUAAAUUCCAGUGCUCAACAUUGGAGCUGCAUCUGAAACGUCAUAGCUGGAGACAAGUAGAGGUUCAUGGAACAUAUGGUGUAGCAGUGAAAUGCGUUGAUAUCAUAUGGAACGCCAAAGGCGAAGGCAGUGAACUGGGCUUUGUCUGACGCUGAGACACGAAAGCGUGGGUAGCGAACG